GGCAACGUGCCAGAGUGGUUAAUGGGUUAGCCUCGAAAGCUAAUGACCUCGGUCGCGCAGGUUCGAAUCCUGCCGUUGUCG
rnacentral:tRNA from 1 species